CAUUUUCGUUAGUACAGUUGAUCCAAUGAAAGAACCGCCGUUAAUCACAGCAAACACAGUUCUGUCCAUUCUUGCAGUUGAUUAUCCAGUCGAUAAGGUUGCAUGUUAUGUUUCAGACGACGGUGCUGCCAUGCUUACAUUUGAAGCUCUUUCUGAGACAUCUGAAUUUGCAAGGAAAUGGGUACCUUUCUGUAAAAAAUUUAACAUUGAGCCCCGUGCUCCAGAGUGGUACUUUUCACAGAAGAUGGACUAUUUGAAGAAUAAGGUACAUCCAGCUUUUGUCAGGGAGAGGCGUGAAAUUAAG
rnacentral:lncRNA from 1 species